rnacentral:rRNA from 1 species
ACUAAAUAGAUACCCAGGUAGUCCACGCCCUAAACGAUGUCAACUGGUUAUUGGGAAUUCAUUUUCUCAGUAAACGAAAGCUAAACGCGUGAAGUUGACCGCCUGGGGAGUACGGCCGCAAGGCUAAAACUCAAAGGAAUUGACGGGGACCCGCACAAGCGGUGGAUGAUGUGGUUUAAUUCGAUGCAACGCGAAAAACCUUACCCACCUUUGACAUGUACGGAACUUGCCAGAGAUGGCUUGGUGCCCGAAAGGGAGCCGUAACACAGGUGCCGCAUGGCUGUCGUCAGCUCGUGUCGUGAGAUGUUGGGUUAAGUCCCGCAACGAGCGCAACCCUUGCCAUUAGUUGCUACGAAAGGGCACUCUAAUGGGACUGCCGGUGACAAACCGGAGGAAGGUGGGGAUGACGUCAAGUCCUCAUGGCCCUUAUAGGUGGGGCUACACACGUCAUACAAUGGCUGGUACAGAGGGUUGCCAACCCGCGAGGGGGAGCUAAUCCCACAAAGCCAGUCGUAGUCCGGAUCGCAGUCUGCAACUCGACUGCGUGAAGUC